rnacentral:rRNA from 1 species
ACGAAGGGGGCUAGCGUUGUUCGGAAUCACUGGGCGUAAAGCGUACGUAGGCGGAUAGUUAAGGAAGGGGGGAAAGAAGGGAGCACAACUCCAGAACUGCCUUUGAUACUGGCGAUCUUGAGUCCGGGAGAGGUGAGUGGAACUGCUAGUGUAGAGGUGAAAUUCGUAGAUAUUAGCAAGAACACCAGUGGCGAAGGCGGCUCACUGGCCCGGUACUGACGCUGAGGUACGAAAGCGUGGGGAGCAAACAG